GCUAAACCACUGAAACUGAGUCCACCCAGUUUGUGUGGGUGGAUUCAAGUAGAUAUUUCAUAACCCCACUGUCGUUGACUCCCUACUCCAACACGAAUCGAGUCAAGAAAAUAUCACAAAAGACAUGGAUUUUCUGAGGUCUGCUCUCUUCAUGGUGUUUCUAGCAGGAGCAUUUUCACAGCAAAUCAAGGAUGCCUCAGAUUCCAGUUCAUCAGAAGAGGCACCAAAAACCAAGGCACCAACUCCAAUACCACCCAGAACUACACGGCACACCACUGUUACCACGACUGCAGCGGCCAGAACUACACCAUCUAUCGUCGUAACCCGGACAGCUUUACCUCCAACAGCACCCAUACCCACAGAGAUUCGAGGGGAUAAUGCAAUGAUAUUCUGCAAAUCUGGCAAAUGUCAGAAAAUGUCCUAAGUUUACCCUGCACUGAACGAAUGAUGCAAUGUUGUAACAAAAGGGAAUUCUGCAUGAAUUCUAAGCAUAACUAGUGACAUCUAAAGGUGAAUGUGUCCUUUUCUUGCUAAAUAUUAUAUGCAUUUCAAUUAGUUACUCUAUUGCAGAUUUAUUUCAUGGUAGUUUAUCUUGGUUUAAAAGUAGGAUGUGUUUGUUCAGUUUAUGUUAUUUGUUGGAAUAGUUUAAGCUGUUUUGCAGAUUAAUGUUCUUAUUUUUCAGAAUAAUAUUCUUAUUCUCAUUCUUAAAUAAAGAACAUUUUGUUCACUGUUGUUCUGUGCA
rnacentral:lncRNA from 1 species